rnacentral:rRNA from 1 species
GCAAGCCUGAACCAGCCACGUCGCGUGAAGGAAGACGGCCCUACGGGUUGUAAACUUCUUUUGUAAGGGAAUAAAGUGUAGUACGUGUACUAUUUUGCAUGUACCUUACGAAUAAGGAUCGGCUAACUCCGUGCCAGCAGCCGCGGUAAUA